rnacentral:lncRNA from 1 species
AAAUGUAAGAUGUGAACCAAAACAUAUUAGCAACCUUAAAACAGUACCUAUGAUACAAAAUCAAAAGCACCAGUCUAAAUGACAAACUUGAAUAUUAAAGUGUCUUAUUCUUUGUUCAUCAAAAAAUUGUGUAUUGAGCUCUUCUCUUCUAUUACAUUCAAAACAUAAACGGCUAGUAUCUGUAGCAAACACAGAAGGUUCUCUUAAAUACAGAACAUACAAUUUUAGAGGAUUCGGUCCUGAAGAUCUGUCAUCAAGGAGGAUGCCAAGGAGGUGAGUUUUUUCCCAGUCUCUCCAGCAAUGUUCUUAAGGGAAGAGAUAUCCUGUUGUGCCUGUAAAAUAAGGGAGGGAAGGAGGGGAUCAGCAUACCAUAAAACAUCCACACGGAACAAAUACAAAGAAUCUAAUAAUGCCUUCAAUGCUCAUUAAGUUUGUGCCCAGUAUAAUAUAAGGAAUACCUGGAAAGAUAUUCUAUUGAUAAGGUCACUAGCAGCAAGAUCAACGUUGUCACUCGAGUCACCAAAAAGAUCAGCACUGGAGAUGGCAGAUGAACCCUGGAAAUACAAAAGGAUAAACCGAGUUAAGUAUCAAUAUUUAACUCCCUCUCUCCUGGACCCUCCAUUUUGUUUUUCCAUUCCUAGUUGCAAAGACAUAGGAGAAUAAGGAAUUCUUCAAAACAAAGACAAAAAUACCCAAGAAAGAAAAGAGAAGAUUACCGGAACAGAGCUUACCAAUCCCUCAACAUAUCUAUAUCUAUAAUAUCUGAAAUUCCAUGGCUUAAUUUGCUUUACACCAAAUAGAUGCCAAAAAUUACUUAAUUAAAUUUGGAACAUAACUUGUCCUUUCUCGCACUCAUCCCACUCAACCAACACUAGCCUAUAAAUUAUAACGAAUAGAAGAGACAUCUUUUAUCAAGAAGGAAAAGCAUGUCAAAUGCAUUGGGUUAAAUUCUGUCAAUUGAUGCACUACAACCCAUUUUGACAGAAGAGAAAACCAUACUAAAGCACCAAAAAAUGAGUUUCCACUCGUAAACAUUGGGUUACAAGAUUAUACAAUUAACAUUAAUGCAAAAAAAUUCGCAGACAUUGUGUUCAGAAAUAAUUUCAGGCCUUCAAUUAUGUAUGAUAUAAAUGGUUUGCCACAAUGGUGUUUACUAGUAAAACUGUAAUCCCUACAGAGUACGGUCGGACAGAAGGAAAAAAAACUGUGACCUGUAAAACAAGUCUGGAAUAAACUUAUCUUUACAAAAACACCUGUGAGUACAAUAUCAUUCAUAUUUUAUCUUCAGUAUGAAAUAUUCACUUCAAAACAACAUAAAUCACUAGCCCUUAAAUUUUCGUGUAAGUAUAGAUUAAUUUGCCUAAUUUCCCCAGAAAAUUUUGAUGGCGUAAUUAGUGAUCCUUGAUAAUGCAAAAAGACUAAUUUAAAUACUAAUAUGCAUGAAUCCCAACACUGACGCUUUGUUACGGUAAGUUACUGAAAGAAAGGACACAUACUGAAAACUUUGAUAAAGUUGCUUGAGCAUCCGCAUUAGCCUUGUUCUGGUCUCCAAAAAAUUGGGAUGAAGAAAUAGACUUUGCAUUUGAGAACUUCUUUCUUGCUUCAUCAGAUUCCUGAAUCUUAUACAGACACAGACAAAGCAAAAUGAGAUGCAUAACUGUGGUAAAAAAUAAAAUUGAUUGUGCAGGUUGAAUGACUUUAUUGAGAAAAACACUCAGAUGAAAGGCAACAUCUAGGUGAGAUAUAAAAGAAUGUUCAAAGAUUACAUGGGCAUAACAUAUAGGCAUUGUUUAAAAAAAUAACACCAAGAUUCGGGACAAAAAUACUAAUUUGUCCAAAGAUAAUCAAUAUCAUUCAGCCUAUGAUUGCAAUAAUGGCCAUCUACUAAUAAUUAAUUUUAAAAAGGUACACCCAUGGACCUAUAAAGUUUAUCUUUGUUCAGAUACAUGUGUUACUUCAUUCCAUAUAUUUCCUUUGGGAUAAUAUAGCAGUAAGUUGUAAUGUAACGGUGGUUGUUUUUUCUCUAGAGUUUUCUAUCUAUGUCUUAUUUAAGUUUGUUUCUAUUACUGGCACUCCUCUCAGCAAUCUCAUUCUCAUGGUAAUACUAUUGUAGUUUUGAAUAAUACUGAAGGUCCUACUGCAAAACCAUCCAAGACCACAAUGAUGAUAUCAUAGUAAGCUUAAAUACACAAAUGCAAAUAUCAAGCAUUUUGGUUUUAGUCCCUGUAAAAAUAUUUUUUGGUUUUAGUUCGUGCAAAUAUAUAAUUUUUUGCUUUUAAUCCUUUUUAUUUAGUUUUAGUCCUUGCAAAAUGUUUUCACAUUGGAUUUGGUCCUUGUAACAUGUAGAAUAUUUGAUUUUAGUCCCUCAAAAUAAGAACUAAAAUAAAUAUUAUAGGGACCAAUUUCAUUAUGAAUGGAUUUUACAGGGACUAAAACAAAACACCAAGGACCAAAACAAAUUAUUUCAUAUUUGCAAGACAAACAAAAUUAAAACAAAAAAUACAUGGACUAAACUCAAAUCGCUUAUAUUCAUAGGGACCAUUUGCAUAUUUAAGCCUAUAAUAGUAAUAUACAAUCACUGCACUUGCAAACACAGUUUUCAGCCACAAAUCUCUGUUUUCAAAAUUACACGGAAAUCCCUAGUAAAAUAAAUCAAAGGAUAUAGUGUUCCAUUAAAAAUUUGGAAGUGCACAAGGUGUGAAAACAUGUGAUUCUACAUACGUAUGGAUGCAAUUUCAUCUUUUUUGCAAAAUGUGCAAUGCUGGUAAUUUCUCCCGAAAUUGCAAACACUGUUUUUCUCAAAGGAUUGUAUUUUGUUAAAAACAUUAAACUGGGCGAAAAUAUCAAAAUUUGAACUAAAUCGUGUAUAAACUAUGUAAGCUCACCGCGUGCAGAAGUUAAUUUAUGCAGAUGUAAGAGUUGCAGGCAUAAGCUUACUUGCACUUUGGAGGAGCUAGGCCCAGAUUUCUUUUGAAAGCCACUAUCCAUUCCGAAGUCCGAAAAGAAGCUUGAUGAUGACUUUGGUACAGACACGUGACCGGUUACAUUUGAACCUCCAGAAUUCAACUCAGAUGAUUGGACAUCUUCUGUAUACUCAAACCGAGAUGUUAGAGGUGGCCCAGAAGGCAAGUUGUUUUUUGUAAUUGUCGAUGAUGAAACUGGAGCAGGUAGUUCUUCAGGCUUCUGCUCAUAGAGGGACUCGCUUGGCUGCAUUGCAUUAUGAUAAUAACUGGUUAAAAUUUUAUAUCACCAAAUUAAAAGAGAACAUACGAUAAUAACCGGUUAAAAUUUUGUAUCGCCAAAUUAAAAUAGAGAACAAGAUGCUGAUGAACCAAAAGGAACUUUCUGGAAACAAUCUUUAAUCAAAGAUAACUAUUUGCAUACCUUUCUAGUGAGCUUACGGGCUCCAAGUCCCCCACUCUUACCAGUUUUUUUGGCUCCAAUAGGCUUCUUCAAAUUAUUCGAAACUGCAGUAUAAGCUCUGGGUGAAGAACUGCUCUCGGUCUUUUCUGGCUUCUCCACAGUUUUUUCCACAGUCUUUUCAAUUGGGACUUCAUUUGUCUUAACAUCAGGAAGUCCAUUAGUCCCUUGGGCAGACUGAGAAGAAGCAGCAGGUGGUGCAGACAAGGCAGCCUCCUCAGACAUACUUUUAGCAACUUCCUUUGAAAGCAGUUGCUUAUACAACUCUGCAGCUCUGGAUGUAUACUUUGCCUCUACUUUACCAUCUCCGUUCCAUCCAUGCUGCCUAAAGAAAACCUGUGCCCUACUGUUUCCUCCAAAGCUCAUCAUUUUAAGUUGCUCAGGAGUCCACGAGUCUAAGUUCGUAGAUCUACAUAUAAAAAAUAUAUAUAAGUAUAAAUCUUUUAUGCCUUCUUACCAGUAUUCUACUACAGUACAGGACUAACUCAUCCCCAUUGAUUGUAAUGUAAUUCAUAGAAUAACUAAAUAUAAAACAAAGACACGGAAACAGGGUGAGAGAUUAAAUUUUUAGUCAGAGAAAACAGAAGCUUGAUGAAAUAGUUUUUACUUUUGAUUCAUGAAUUAAGCGUAUCAACCCUAACAAAUUUUACUCGGCAUAAUGGCAUAUAGCUCCUGCUCAACUUUUUCCUAUGAUAUACUCUGAAAAACCAAACUAAAAUGUUGGUUUGCAGUGGCAAUAAGUGAAGUUUUCUCUUACAGAAUCAAACUUAAUUUUUACUGGUUCCAAGUUUGCUUCAUCUAUUUUAAACCAGUUAAUCAGUUUCUAACUUCCAAAUUCUUAUCACACAUUGCAACUCAAGAAGCACCAGAAAAUUACAUUACAUAAUCAAUCAUUUUCCAAUCUAAACACUCCUCUUAACGCAAUAAAAAUCUCCAAUCUAAACACUCCUCUUAACUUAGUAAAGAAUCUCAAGGGAAAUAAUAUAAGGCUACCAGAAUCAACAACGAUAUCUGCACCAACCUGCUGCAAAAAGUAAAAUCAUGUCUAACCUUGUGCUCCAAAAACUAACUUAGAGUAUAAAUAUUCACCAGCAUUUAUUUAUUCAUUCUACACAGCUUCUCAAGCAUAAUAUCAUUCUACUCUUUCCAAAGUAGAAUGAAUGAUUUCAACUACACAAAUACUAAGAGGCAAAACCCCCAAUAUGAUUUCAUAGACGUUUCAAGUUUUAACCAUUUGAUUUGGGAAAAUUACUAAUCACUCUAUUAAGAAACAUGGUAGAACCCAUAGAAGUUUGAAAAUAAUACAAACCUUCAAUGAAACUCAAACGAUAAAAUGAGAAAGCGUGUUUGCAUUAAAGGGGUUACAUCACUUACAUAGCAAGUAAAUCCAACACACACACACACACACAUAACCGCAAAACAACACAUUACUCAAUAAAUUAAUCAACAUACAAAUUCAAACCACAUCAACAUACAAAAUCAAAUUUCAAAAAUUGGUAAACAAAUUCAUCAUUUCAUAAAAUCAAUCAACAAAUUACCUCACGAAACUGAUAUGAACACCGAGACUUCGAUGAACAGCAGAGCAAUCAAUGCAGAGGAAGAUCCCAUACGUUACAGACGCCCAUGUUGGAUUCUUCGCAUUGCAAUCGAAACAACUCUGAAACAAAAACCAUCACAACUUCAAAAAUCAAACACACGAACACACAGUAUCGCAGAUCUGAACCCGAUCUCGAGAAUCAUGAAAAUUCAAAAUUCAAAAAUAACUGAAAUCAAAGAUGAAAAUUAAAAAAUUCAAAUAAAACGAACCUUGUUUUCGGAUUUGGUUUUGAGUUUUCUGAAAACGGCGUUCUUGUCGGUGAAGCUAUCGGAAGCCAUUGAAAUGCGAUUAAGGGAAAAAUGAAACGGAAAAGGAAAUUGAAAAUGAUUUUUGAUUUAUAUGAAUAUGAUUUGAUUUGAUUUGAUUCGUUAGAAUCUAUUUAGGUUUUUGAAUUUGAUUUGAAUCUCAGGGGGUGCUUUUGAGGAAGAAGAACAGCACCUCCUGAGCAAUUUGCAGACGAAACGCAAAACUUUAUUUCUGUUUAUUAAACUUGUUUUCUCUUUUAAAAUGAGAAUAAAUAACUUUUAGUGUUCUUUACUCUUUUUUGUUUGGUACAAAUAUUCUUCUUUACUCUUCAAACACAACCAUAACAUAACUUUAACCACAAAAAUACAAAUAGCAAAUAAUUUAGUUUAUAUAUAUCGUGUAAGAAAAUUGGAUUUAAUUUGGUAGUGUAAUCCGUUUUCACUUGCAUCUAAUUAAAGUUCAUGAUGAUGUAGUAUAUUUUUAAGAGAUAGGACGUAGAUAUAAGAAAAAAAACUUAAGAAAGUGGCAAUAUAAUUUGAUUUAAUUGGAUUCGUUUGUAAAAAAAUCUUAUAAUGUUAGUGAAUCAAUAUAUUCUAUUCUUACACUCAUUGUGAUAAAAAAAAAAAUAUUACACUUUCAAUCAAUCAUUUAUUACUUUUUUUACUCAAACCGAAAUUGUUGAUAAAGUAAUCCAUAUGGUUGUAAUGUAUUGGCAAAAGUAAAACAUUUUAUAAUGAUAGUAUAUCAAAAUUAAAUUCAAUAGCAAAUUGGUAAUUCUCUCAGCAGCAAAAGAAAAAAAUUAGUAAUUGAAAUUUUGAAUAUUGGUUGAAGUAGAUUCCUAAUUUUAAAACUAUUAAAAAAAAAUAUAUAUCCUACGUUAAGUUAUUUGACAUAAAAUUAUUUGAUAUGAUUGUCACUUUUUAGAAGCUCUGAAUGCUCACUCUACGUUUUUUUGUAAUUCGGUUUCAAUCCCACACGUGGAUUCACUGAAUUGCCCGUGGUAGUGAUUGUUUAGAGCUGUGUCCUUUUUUAUACUACUUAUGUGCUGAUUUGUUGUAUCCCCGUUACAGGUUGUUUUUUGUGGUUUCCUAGGUCAGGUUUAUGCCCCCUAGUCUUGUACUUCCUGAUCUUUUUUAAUUUAUUUUUAUUUUGGCAUAAAAAAAAAAAAAUUGACAUGAUUGAAUUCUAAUGUGACCUUAAGUCAUUGUAACACAUUAGGUUAAAUUAUGUGCUUGUUAAAAUUAUUUCCCCCAUCUAUUAGCGCUUACGGUUACAUUGAUGAAUGAAUUUGCUUGUUAUUCUAACUUUAAUCUAAUGCUUUAAAAAUUAGGUGAGAGAUUAGGUCGAUGAUAUCUCAAACGAAAGUACAUUUAUUUUUAAUUGAUAAAUGUUAGUAUGUUAAUUGUUUAUGAGAAUUUUUUUUCUCUUUAUCGGGACUAGAACUCUCGACCUCCAACUCUAAACUAUUCAACAACCAAACUUGGUUGAAACUUGAAAAACUUAAAUGAGAAGAUCCCUUUAAUUAAUCAUUUUUUUAUCAUUUAUAUAAACUGACUCGAACCACUUGUUUGAAGAGUUCAUAUUAUUCCAACGAGACCAACUAAAGUUGGUUCAAACAAACAUGAUUUAACUAGAAUGUGCUUAAGGGGUGAAUUUGAUAUGUUCAUAAGAGUGAAAACAAUCUGGAUGCAAUAGGUUAUGGCAGUUGCUAUUGGAGAAGCAUUAGAAAUUUAGAACCGGUAGCAGCGGCUAAAUGGGUGAGAGAAUUGGCAUUAAAGUUAUUUUUUGCUUGGACACUAAAUUAACUAUGGAUUAUGUGAACUUAGAUAUGUGAGAUGAUACAGAGUUAAGCUCUACUUUAACUAGAUGUAGAGAUGAUUUAUCUGAUAUUUGUAACAACUUUUAUGUCGAAUUUUCUAAGAUGUUUAUUAUGGUUGUUCAUAACCUUACAAAGAUGAUCUUAUAAUGACAAUUCUCAUUUUGAUUUUGACAUGCAAAAUUGUAUUAAUCAUUUGAAACCAUUUGGUUAAUACACAUUAGAAUGUUGGAAUGACAACAGUUAGAAUUAUUCUUUACCCAUGUUUUACAAAAUAUCAUUAACACAUACUCAUGUCAUGUGUCCUUAGGUAGUAUUUUAGUACACGUAUUUUACCUAUUGUUACUUAAAUAUUAUACUUGUCAUUUACACUAUACAGACAACCAUAUAAAGAUCAACUUAGGAGCAAUUAUUUUAGGGUCACAACUCCAAAUAAAAAAUUAUGACAACUUUAGUUAUGGCUGUUGCACAGCACAAAGGUCAAAAAACAAGAGACAAUGAGGAACAAAUACUAGAUAAUCUAAUACUUCUUCCGGCCGCAUCAAUUAUAAACAAUUUUUUACUUUUUAGGUUCAUUAAACAAAUUAUGCAUGUGGUCUAUAUUAUAUCAGCCAUUUUGGGAAACGAUGUAUCGGCCAUUUCAAUUCCAACCUCACUUUUUUAAUGAUGAAAACCUUAUUUGAUUGGACAAUUUAAGAUCAAUGCCUCCCCUGAACUUGUGUCAUCAGAGAUUAUGAAAAUAAGGAAUACUACUUGGUACUGUGAUGAUAUAAAAUGGUAUCAAAGCUAUAUGAAACUCAAUUAUUAAAAAUAUCUGCUUCAGAGGUGUGCUUGCAUAAAUCAAACUUAAUUUCAUUACAAUUAUUCGCUAGUUCCAUAAAAUAUAUACACUGAGCAUUAAGAACUAAAGGUUUAAUACCAUAAGUAAAUGGAAAUUGGUUUAAAAAAGUAAAUGGGAGGAUUUUUUUUCCCCUCUAUUCAUGACCACGGUAAAAAAAUGGUAUUUUUUUUACAAAAGAAUGGUAUUUUAAACUUUCCUAUUACAUUACAAAUACAAUUAGCUGGUAUUGGUAAAAAAAUUUGAAGGAUUCUCUUAAAUUCAUAACAUACAAUUUUAGAGGAUUCGGUCCUGAAGAUCGGUCAUCAAGGAGGAGGCCAGGGAGCUGAGUUUUUUCCCAGUCUCUCCAGCAAUGUU